AGUACAGGGAUCGAACUCGAAGGAAGAAAGUAGCCAAUUCUCUUUCUAGCGAGUCUUCCUUUACCAAUGGAGAUAAAAGGAGCGUAAGCGAAGAAGAAUCACAUGUAUGCGUGCUAAGCGAGGACAAGCAGAAGCUAUGGAAUAGAGUCUUUCUUUGCCAUUCAUUAAGUAGGUAAAGCAGUCAGUAGGCUAAAUAGGCAUCUAUGCUUUAUCUUAUUGCCCUUCAAUUCUUCCUUUUCUUUUAGUUUUAUUGGAGUCUUUACCACUUAUUUGAAUGCAGUUUACUCUAUGAAUGCAAAAGAAUAAAUGGUUUUGAAUAGUUGAAUGGUUGUGUAAGAUCUUUAGCUUUUUAGUGAGGGAGGAAGAUAGAUAGUCAAACUGCAACCGAUUUGAGCUCUUAACGAAUCCCUGUGGAGGCAGUCUUAGAAGUAGGCAUUGGAGGAAAACUAAGCUCUUACAGUUCUUAUAAAAUAAAAAACUGCUUUAAAGGAGAGAAAUCGAGGGUGUGCUAUCUAUUCUACUUUGAUGACCUUACCUGAAUAAGAAAAGAAUCCUUGAUUAACCAACUCGUCAGUCUGAUAAGAGUUCCCACUAAAGGCAAAGAGAGGACUCAGGAGCAAGAUCAGCAAGCGGCGGGGGUAGAAAGGUAAGCAAGGUCCAAGCCGAGAGCUUCACCGCGGGAUGGAAGAGAUAAGGCGGGAAGGGCUGGAGG
rnacentral:misc_RNA from 1 species